UCUUUAGUUUCUUGGUUAGCCACUUGGCCUGUUUUCUCUUUGCUCCCCUUUUCUCUUUUGUUUGCACUUUUUUUGUCUGAAGAUGUGUCCUUUCCUGCUGCCUUUUUGGCUUCGUUUCCACUUUUGCAGGAGCGGAUUUAGCUGAAAACCGCACCGGUCCCCUCUUGGGCUCUUCCUUGGCUGCCCCUUCGGUGCAACUGCCCUUCCAUAGUUUCCAUCUGAAGAGUUAGCUCUCCCUUCUGGUGCAGAACAGGGAAGCCUAAUCUGUCUUCCAUGAGAUUCAAGAGGCUGCUCCUCCUGGGGCCUCUGUGGGUAUCCUCCGUGUUGCUCCUAAGCUCUUAUUCCUCAGGUAAAAUGGUGCUGAGUCUACUCAUCAUCGGACUGUGGCGCCUAGUAUUGGACACCACAUCCCUGAUGUACCCUGACACCUCAUUUCUCUCCCACAUAGAACCUAGUGGGCACUGUGCCCCCGCAUCUAUUUGAAGAACUGCUCAAGAGGCUUUGUGGGAGGUCUGGCUCUUCCUCACCCCCGCCGGACUUGACGUGCCUGCCCCCACCACCCGGCAUACUUCCCAGCAUACUUCCGGUCAGGCAGCAAUCAGCUCGCUCCUCACGGGGAUCAGCUGUGGUGACUGAGACUGGCUUGCUCUUGCAGCCCCAGGAACACAGAGGUUCAUGCUGAAGAACCAAAUGGUUCCUACAGUACAAGCAAGUGCCAGGCACUCCGCAGGAGGCAUCACUGGCACCUCCUAAUUGAUGAGCAGUCCAGCUCUGAAGCUGCGAGCUCUAAAGCCGGAUACCUCCUCCAGGUGACUCUUUCUGAUCUUCCUCUCCCAGCUGAAUAGAGUGAACUUCAGUGUUUCUGGCCUCCAGUUCCUGAACUCUGCUUCUUCUAAGGCAGGAAGUUCCUGAACACUCCCAGGAAGCCUGUCCUUGCAAGAUAUCGCCCUUCAUUCCUUGACUUCGAUGCUCCACUGGGAUUCUGAAAAGCUUCAAUUCACUGAUACACAUCGGCGGGAGCUGCUGAGCCAUUUAAGCUUUGACUAUCUCUACUUGAAAGGCAUGAGAUAAAGUUUUCCACUGCUGGAGAGGAGAGCAUGUCUUGAUCCAAUAUGACUGGCGUCCUUAUAAGAAGAAGAGACAUGCAUAGAAAGAAGACAAUGUGAGGAGACACAGGGAGAAGAGGCCAUGCACAAGCCAAGGAGAAGACCCGGAACAGAUCCAUGCCAUCCUUCCUUCACAGCCCUCAGGAGGAGCUACCCCUGCCGACACCUUGAUCUUGGCCUCCCAGCCUCCACAGCAGUGAACCAAUACCUUUCUGUUGUUGAAGCUCCCCAGUCUGUAGCACUUUGUAACAGCGGCCCUAGCAAACUAAUAUACCUCCCCCAAAACUUCCUCAAAAUAGGGGAGAAGAUAUGGGGUGCUAACACCAUGGCACCAGGUGUGUGUGGCAGCCUGGACACUGGGCUUCUGACACUCGGCCUCUGGAUUCACCAAAGGAGGAAGCUUCAAGGCUGGUGCCUGAGCUAGUCAUUUAAAAUUUUUGAUGAGACCCACUGAAGAUUUCAGGUAAGAAGGGAUCUGAUCAUAUUUGUGUUUCAGAAAGACCCUUGUAACUAUCACAGUGUGGAGGACAGAUGAAUUGGGGAGGCUG